CUGUAAUAAUUAAUUUAGUGAAGUGGAGCGAAAUUCUCCCACUGUGCCGCAACGGUGAGUCCAUAAAGCAAAGGACAAGUCCGAGCCUAAAUUACAG
rnacentral:ncRNA from 2 species